GGCAUACUAUCUUCUGCUUACCAAUGUGUCGGACAUUUUGAAUCUUUCAUUAUGAUUAAAAAUUAGAGUUUCUUAUUAAUCUUAAAUUAUGUAAUAAAGGUUUAGAAAAAAUAAAAGAAAUUUGUUUUUAGUAUUAUAUUGUGGCUAAUGAAGGAGUUAAAAAGUCCUUCCAGUCAGUUGCAACAACAAUUAAAGCAGCAGGAAACAGCCAAGUACACAUGCAAGUGAUUGUUAUGAGGAUUGCAAAACUUUUAAAUAUCAGAAACUGAAGAAAGCAUUCAUAAUCAGCAGAUAUCAAAAAAGCGCAAAAGUACUGAUUUUGCAACUCUUUUAAAGUUGAGGAAGAAUUUUAUGUUAAUGUUAAUGCAAAAGGUACGAAUAUUGACAGGUUAGCUAAUUUGAUGUAACAAUAAACAUGAAAUAAAGUUUGUGAAGACCUUAGUGCCAAAAAUACUUGCAUGCAUUAUUCAUGCAUGCUGUAUUAUAAUAUAGCAUGCAUGCAUGAUGCAUUUAAGUAUAAAAAAAAGUUACAAAUGUUUAAUUAUACAAAAAGAUUAUGGAUGUGGUACUGCAAGUAUAUUCAAUUGAUUAUGCAAGUAAGUUGUCCUACUUUACAUCUUUGAAGACUAAUAAUAAUUGUAAUGAACAUAUCUCAGACAAUAUACACUCGGAUUUAUAUUUUAGUUAAACCAUCACCACUUCCACAGCCACCUUGUCUCAAGCAUUAAAUCGCAUUCUAAGAUAUCUUUAUUCAAAUUAAGUGUGACUACUUUACCAAAAGACUCUAGAAUGGACCAAUCAACUAACCCAUCAGUACUUGCAAAGUCUCUUUUUCUGUAAGCCCAAAAAUUGAGUUCUAAAAUACCAUUAUCCACAUAACUACUUUAUCAAAGUACAAUCUAAUGGAUUGAUCAAGUAAUACUUAAUUUUUACCUUAAAUUGCGUGUUAGUACAUAUAUAUAAUUUUGAUAUAUAAAUUUUAAUUAUUAUGUUUGUUGAUUAGUUUUUAAACUUUAAGAAGUGUAAGAAUUACAAUUUUAUUUUUACAUGUUUAUUUAUAUUGUAGUGAAACUGUCGGUAUCUCCACAACUUUUCAAUUAAAUAGAAAGUUUCAAUUAAACAGGAUACUAAGUGUGCCUAUUGCUCCUCAAGACAAUAAAUAAUGGGAGUUAUCAAACUUUAUAUAUAUAUA
rnacentral:lncRNA from 1 species